rnacentral:sRNA from 1 species
UAGAUGAUGCAUUUCCAAU